rnacentral:lncRNA from 1 species
UUUCUUAGCUCAGCGGAAACCUAACUCAACAGAAUAACUUAAUGCAAUGCAAGUUUACACAACAACUUAACUUAUAAAAAUCUGGCCACAAGGGCAUCUCGAAUUUCAAAAUAGAUAUUUACAUAUAUACAUAGAGGAGAGACUCAAAACUAACUGACUGACUGUCUAUGAAGCCUCUACAAUACUGAGAUGGAUGUUGGGACAGACCCC